GUGUUGUAUGAAAGGAGAGGUUAGCACUACCCUUAACAAGGAUGUAAGAGGCCCUCAGGCCUAGCAACACACAUAUGGUUAAGGCAUUGCCACCUACUUUGGGCAUCUAACAUUUUUAU
rnacentral:ncRNA from 1 species